AGUGAACGCUGGCGGUAGGCCUAACACAUGCAAGUCGAACGGCAGCACAGUAAGAGCUUGCUCUUACGGGUGGCGAGUGGCGGACGGGUGAGGAAUACAUCGGAAUCUACUUUUUCGUGGGGGAUAACGUAGGGAAACUUACGCUAAUACCGCAUACGACCUACGGGUGAAAGCAGGGGAUCUUCGGACCUUGCGCGAUUGAAUGAGCCGAUGUCGGAUUAGCUAGUUGGCGGGGUAAAGGCCCACCAAGGCGACGAUCCGUAGCUGGUCUGAGAGGAUGAGCAGCCAGACUGGAACUGAGACACGGUCCAGACUCCUACGGGAGGCAGCAGUGGGGAAUAUUGGACAAUGGGCGCAAGCCUGAUCCAGCCAUACCGCGUGGGUGAAGAAGGCCUUCGGGUUGUAAAGCCCUUUUGUUGGGAAAGAAAAGCAGCAGGUUAAUACCCCGCUGUUCUGACGGUACCCAAAGAAUAAGCACCGGCUAACUUCGUG
rnacentral:rRNA from 1 species